rnacentral:rRNA from 1 species
UACGUAGGGUGCAAGCGUUAAUCGGAAUUACUGGGCGUAAAGCGUGCGCAGGCGGUGAUGUAAGACAGAUGUGAAAUCCCCGGGCUCAACCUGGGAACUGCAUUUGUGACUGCAUCGCUGGAGUGCGGCAGAGGGGGAUGGAAUUCCGCGUGUAGCAGUGAAAUGCGCAGAUAUCUGGAGGAACACCGGUGGCGAAGGCGGCAUCCUGGACCGGCAUUGACGCUGAGGCGCGAAAGCCAGGGGAGCAAACAGG